rfam:Lentinula edodes NBRC 111202 DNA, contig: scaffold48.
ACCUCAAUAGCUCAGUGGUAGAGUGCUUGAUGAAUAUGUUCUCGUCGUGAGUGAUAUAUAUCAUCAAAAUGCCAGGGUUCGAAUCCCUGUUGAGGAA